rnacentral:rRNA from 1 species
AUUGAACGCUGGCGGCAGGCCUAACACAUGCAAGUCGAGCGAGCGGCGGACGGGUGAGUAAUGUAUGGGGACUGCCCGAUAGAGGGGGAUAACUACUGGAAACGGUGGCUAAUACCGCAUACUAUCGGAUAACCCAGAUGGGAUUAGCUAGUAGGUGGGGUAAAGGCUCACCUAGGCGACGAUCGCUAGCUGGUCUGAGAGGAUGAUCAGCCACACUGGGACUGAGACACGGCCCAGACUCCUACGGAGGCAGCAGUGGGGAAUAUUGGACAAUGGGGGCAACCCUGAUGCAGCAAUGCCGCGUGUAUGAAGAAGGCCUUCGGGGUGUAAAGUACUUUUAGUAGGGAAGCGUUACCUGAAGAAGAAGCACCGGCUAACUACGUGCCAGCAGCCGCGGUAAUUC